AUAAUGAUAGUAUGUAGUAAAAUCUUAAGUCACAUGACUAUGAUUCACAAAACAUCACAUGAGUUGUGUAUUAGUAAGAAUACAAUGUGUAUUUGUUUUAACGUAAAACUAUAAUACUUUAAGAAAAUCACCGUUAAAGAGCUAUGGGUACAGGCGAAGGAGGCGGGGCUAAAGGUUGCCUGUCAGCUAUCAUAUGGUUUCUUCUUAUAUGGUUUGUGGCGUGGCCAUUAGCAUUUUUACUAGCGUGGUUUUACAUAUUCCUGUUGCCAUUUGGAGCAUGCAUAGACCCUAUAAGAUCAAUUAAUGAACAAUUGGUGCGCAUAUUACAACUACCAUUGACAUGCGCACAGAAUAUGAUAGAUAUGAAACCUAUUUGUUGAUAUUUUACAAUGGAAUAGUGACGAAGAUUUUAUUGUUUGUUAUGUUAUAUGUAAAUAUUUGUUCUUAUAUUUAUAUAGAUAUUUGUUAUACGCAUUAUUAAUGUAUUGCAUGUAUCAUUAUACUUUUAUAAAUUAUCAAAUAAAUAAAUUAUAUUUCUUUA